rnacentral:rRNA from 1 species
GAUGAACGCUGGCGGCGUGCCUAAUACAUGCAAGUCGAGCGAAUGGAUUAAGAGCUUGCUCUUAUGAAGUUAGCGGCGGACGGGUGAGUAACACGUGGGCAACCUGCCCAUAAGACUGGGAUAACUCCGGGAAACCGGGGCUAAUACCGGAUAACAUUUUGAACCGCAUGGUUCGAAAUUGAAAGGCGGCUUCGGCUGUCACUUAUGGAUGGACCCGCGUCGCAUUAGCUAGUUGGUGAGGUAACGGCUCACCAGGGCAACGAUGCGUAGCCGACCUGGGAGGGUGAUCGGCCACACUGGGACUGAGACACGGCCCUGACUCCUACGGGAGGCAGCAGUAGGGAAUCUUCCGCAAUGGACGAAAGUCUGACGGAGCAACGCCGCGUGAGUGAUGAAGGCUUUCGGGUCGUAAAACUCUGUUGUUAGGGAAGAACAAGUGCUAGUUGAAUAAGCUGGCACCUUGACGGUACCUAACCAGAAAGCCACGGCUAACUACGUGCCAGCAGCCGCCGUAA